GAUGAACGCUGGCGGCGUGCCUAACACAUGCAAGUCGAGCGAAAAGACGAGGAGCUUGCCCUCUUGACGUUAGCGGGGGACGGGUGAGUAACAUGUGGAUAACCCUCCUAUAUGACUGGGAUAACUUCGGGAAAACGGUGCCAAUACCGGCAAAUAUAUUCAACAGCAUGGUUCAAUAGUGAAAGACGGCUUGCCUUCCACUUUUAGAAGGUUCCGCGCGGCAUUAGCUAGUUGGUAAGGUAACGGCUUACCAAGGCGACGAUGCGUAGCCGACCUGAGAGGAUGAUCAGCCACACUGGAACUGAGACACGGUCCAGACUCCUACGGGAGGCAGCAGUAGGGAAUCUUCCGCAAUGGGCGAAAGCCUGACGGAGCAACGCCGCGUGAGUGAAGAAGGUCUUCGGGUCGUAAAACUCUGUUAUUGGGGAAGAACAAAUGUGUAAGUAACUAUGCACGUCUUGACGGUACCUAAUCAGAAAGCCACGGCUAACUACGUG
rnacentral:rRNA from 1 species